UUGGGUGGCAGGAAAGUCCUCUGUGCGCCAGAGGAGCAGCCAGCAUUGAGCACGCUCUGCAGACGCCCAGGCGCAGAGGGACCGGUGGCAGUGUUCCAGGAAGGCCCCACGGCCGUGCACAGGGAAGCUCAGGGGCUGCCAGCCCAGGGUCUGAGCCACGUCCACAGGCCUUCCCACUCCAGACACUCAUAAUAUUCUUCCAUUUAAAAAGGAAGGAAGUUCUGACACCGGCUACAACACGGACGAUCCUUGAGGACACUAUGCUCGGUGAGACAUGAUGCCUGGAGCUGUAGCAGCUGGAUUGUGACCAUGAGGCAUCAACCCUGAGAAGGCCAAGAGGGACCAAAGCUUCCACCUUGACAACAUCAAGCCUCUGGGCAAAGCAGCAGCUACCCAGAUCCUUGACAGCCGGUGCAGGCUGUGGGGUAGAGAGGGACCACGUGUCUGGGCGAUGAUGGACGGAGAGCUGGGCUCGGCGUGAGGACCCCCUCGUGGUGUGUGGCCCUGAGCGGAACAUCCCUCCGUGACAUGGAGCUAGAGGGAAGCCCCGUGUGGCCAUUCACACGGUGCCCACAGGACACAGCAGCAGCCGCCGUGCCGAGUCGCACCGCCAGCCCCGCUCCUGUGGCUGUGUGGUGUUCUGUCAUGGAGAUGCCGUGGUCCGUCCCCUCCGGGGCAUAAGCUGAAGUUGCCCACAAUUUGUCUUGCUUCGUAUAACACUGAGGCGAUUGUGCAUGAAGCUCCCCAGAUGGAGCAAGACCAUCCCGGUGGCAGCAUUGUCGGCCGGAGGGUGUAGAUAUUUUACCGCCCUCGAUACAAUCUGCGGAAUUGCUGCGCAGAAGAGUAGCUGUGGUUGCAGGUGUUUGUCCUGCGGCAACUGUACAUGUCCGGAUACUCUCAGGUUUAAAAAGAAAGAAAGGUUUUAUUUAUUCCACAGGAAGUGAAAAAUUGUGGACCAUGGUUUCAAUAUGUAUGUCUUUAGUUCUGAAGUUAUUAAAAAAAAAUACGUAGUAGCCGUUUCUAGCGUUUUUGGUUCACUGUGGCAGAGACAGUGCUCAGAAGUUAUCCAGUUAUUUUCUUGGCCCCGAGUCUGGGUGCUAUCACGUGACUAAUUCUCACCCCUGGACGUGAGGGGCAGUGACCCCCUACUGGACUGAAACACCCUGGGUCCCUGGCACCUCGGGGUGACAACAAGUUGUCACAACAACAUCCUACCCCCCUCAGACGAGCACGAGUGAGAAACAGACCUGACUGUGUUGGGCGUGGAGACACUGGGGUCAUUGAUGCCACCACUGAGCUUGGCCUCAUGACCAGAACACUCAUUGUUUUAGUCAUCACUGUGUACCAAAUUACCCUAAAAGUUAGUGGCUUAAAAAAGCCAUAAUCAUUUAGUGUCUCUAACAGUUCCCAUGGCUCCAGAAUUCAGGAGCAACUCUGCAGGGUCUCAUGAGGCUGCAGUCAGACGUCGCUGGGGCUGCGGUCUCUCCUGAAGCCUUGACUGGGGCUGGGAGCCACUUCCAAGUCAUUCGCUCCCUCGUUGCAAGUUGGUGCCACUGUUGGCCGGGGGCCCAGCUCUGCCCCCACGGGGCUUCCACGGCGCAGCCUGAGCGUCCUCGGGAUGCAGCAGAGGGCUCCCUGGAGCGAGUGACCCAGGAGAGAAGGCGGAAGUCACAAUGCCCUUUAUGACCAGCCUCAGAAGUCAUGCCAUCACCUCUACUGUACUUUAUUUGCCACCCAGACCAGCCCUGAUCUACCGUGAGGGGAGACCACCCAAGGGUGUGACUACGAACGCAAGGAUCUUGGGGGUCUUGAGGCUGGCUAUCCACUCACUGAAUCCACUUUCAGAAAUUUAUUCUUUAAAAAAUCACAGAUGCUUGCAAAGAUUUAGCUACCAGGAGAGGAUGUUCGUUGUAGUAUCGCUUUUAGAUGGUAAAAAAGGAAAACAUCUAUGUCUGUCUGGUGGAAUAAGUCAUGACGUGACCAUGCGCAGUCGUGCGUUGCACAGCGUGGAAGGAUGUGUUGAUCACACACCAGGUGACAAAAUGGCACAAGGAGAAUGAUUCUGCUGUGUAAAGAUCGCGUCUUUAUUCAACAGAAGCAUAGAAAAGGUGUGGAAGGCUGUGUACCUGUGGCAGCCUGGCGGGGGUCCACCCGCCUCCCCUUGCGCUGUGGGUGAAGGACACUCUCCCGCCACAUCUGUCGACCUUGGGCUGGGCCUAGUGACUUGCUUUGUGCCGUGGGACGUGGCAGCAGCAGGGUGCCAGUUCCGAGCCUGGACCUUCAGAGGACUGGCUUGCGUGCUCGCUUCUCUGAGAGCUCCAGACCCCGACAGGAGGAGCACCCUGAGGAGCGGGGUUCCCGGGAGAACGGGAGACCCGGGCAGCAGACAUGCACGGAACCUCGGCCGAGCCCCUGCCGACCCACAGCGCACGAGCAGGACCAGCUGCACGCUUGGGCACCGCCAAGCAGUCACGGUGGCCGUGACCAAGGACACAACAUCCGACUAGGAAAAGCCAUCGAAAGAGUCACUUCCUCCUUUCCUCCCAACUUCACUUUCUAAAUUGCCUACAGUGAAGACAUUUUUAUUAUAAUAAAACUUUAUUUAAGCAAGUUUUA